rnacentral:rRNA from 1 species
CCUACGGGUGGCAGCAGUGAGGAAUAUUGGUCAAUGGGCGUAAGCCUGAACCAGCCAAGCCGCGUGAGGGAUGAAGGUUCUAUGGGUUGUAAACCUCUUUUGUAAGGGAAUAAAGUGUGGGACGUGUCCUAUUUUGAAUGUACCUUAUGAAUAAGGAUCGGCUAACUCCGUGCCAGCAGCCGCGGUAAUACGGAGGAUCCGAGCGUUAUCCGGAUUUAUUGGGUUUAAAGGGUGCGUAGGCGGCCCGUUAAGUCAGCGGUGAAAGUCUGUGGCUCAACCAUGGAAUUGCCUUUGAAACUGGGAGGCUUGAGUAUGGUUGAGGCAGGCGGAAUGCGUGGUGUAGCGGUGAAAUGCUUAGAUAUCACGCAGAACCCCGAUUGCGAAGGCAGCCUGCCAAGCCACGACUGACGCUGAUGCACGAAAGCGUGGGGAUCAAACAGGAUUAGAUACCCUGGUAGUC